UCCGUUUCCAAAUCUAAAAACUUCCUUCUUCAGGAUUUCUUUUUUGUGUGAAAUGGUCUACAUUGUCUAAGUCAAAUUGCAUUUAUAUGUCAAUGAAGUAAGGGAUUUAAUAGGAGGGUGUGUGGAUUUUGAAUAGGUGAUUUAGCUGUGUGUGUGGAUGCAUAUUUACAGAUGCAUAGAAUUAUUAUCAUUAAUAUUGACCUCUGAAAUUUAAAGUGAGUCUUUUUAAAUAGGAAGUUCAUAAAGCAAGAUUAGCACAUUAUUUGGAUAAUGUUUCUCCUUGGAAAUCAGAAUGUGAUGAUGGUAAUGCUGAAGAGAUAUUUAUAAACAUUAAAAAAACUCUGCAACAGAUAAAGGACAAAGAAUAUAUUAUUCAUUGGUGUCUUAAUGCAACUAUGCCUUCAUUACAAUUGACAGAUCAGUUAUUAAGAUUUGCCAAAGACACAUGCUCUGAAAUUCGUACAAUAUGUAAAGAAGAAUUGCUUGAAGAGGUUUGAAUUUUUAUUUCAUAUAAUUUAAUUUUUUAUCA